GCGGUAAGGCCCCUUCGGGGGUACACGAGCGGCGAACGGGUGAGUAACACGUGGGUGACCUGCCCUCAGCUCUGGGAUAAGCCCGGGAAACUGGGUCUAAUACCGGAUAUGACCUGCUGUUGCAUGACAGCGGGUGGAAAGUUUUUUCGGCUGGGGAUGGGCCCGCGGCCUAUCAGCUUGUUGGUGGGGUGAUGGCCUACCAAGGCGACGACGGGUAGCCGGCCUGAGAGGGCGACCGGCCACACUGGGACUGAGAUACGGCCCAGACUCCUACGGGAGGCAGCAGUGGGGAAUAUUGCGCAAUGGGCGAAAGCCUGACGCAGCGACGCCGCGUGGGGGAUGACGGCCUUCGGGUUGUAAACCUCUUUCGACCGGGACGAAGGGAAACUGACGGUACCGGUAGAAGAAGCACCGGCCAACUACGUGCCAGCAGCCGCGGUAAUACGUAGGGUGCGAGCGUUGUCCGGAAUUAUUGGGCGUAAAGAGCUCGUAGGCGGUGUGUCACGUCGGUCGUGAAAACUUGGGGCUCAACCCUGAGCGUGCGGUCGAUACGGGCAUCACUUGAGUUCGGCAGGGGAGACUGGAAUUCCUGGUGUAGCGGUGAAAUGCGCAGAUAUCAGGAGGAACACCGGUGGCGAAGGCGGGUCUCUGGGCCGAUACUGACGCUGAGGAGCGAAAGCGUGGGGAGCGAACAGGAUUAGAUACCCUGGUAGUCCACGCCGUAAACGGUGGGCACUAGGUGUGGGGGCCAUUCCACGGUCUCUGUG
rnacentral:rRNA from 1 species